GGCAGAUGAUAUCUGUCUGUAGAAAUAUCUUGUUUGAUUUUACUGACUUUUCCAUUUCAAAUUACAAGGAGCGUAGUCAACCUAGAAAUGCAUGUGCCUUCACAGAUUCCAUACCUACAUAGCCAUAAACACAAGACUAGCUCCCUCUGCUCAUUGUAGCAUAAAAGGUGCUAUUGAACUAACAUUACUAUCAUAUUAUUACAUAUAAAAUACAUUUCAGAGAAGUGGAUGUGUGAAGGUGGAUGUGAGUGCCUCAGGGAUGAAGGAGAGAAAAGAGAGGCAGAGCAGUAGAGGAAGAGGCAGAGCAGUAGAAGAAGUGCAGUAGAGGUAGUGCAGUAGAAGUAGAGGUAGAGCCGUAGAAGUAGUACAGUAGAGGAAGAGGUAGUGCAGUAGAGGAAGAGGUGGAGCAGUAGAGGAAGAGGUAGAGCAGUAGAAGUAGAGGAAGAGGUAGUGCAGUAGAGGAAGAGGUAGUGCAGUAGAAGUAGAGCAGUAGAGGAAGAGGUAGUGCAGUAGAGGAAGAGGUAGUGCAGUAGAAGAAGUGCAGUAGAAGUAGAGGUAGAGCCGUAGAAGUAGUACAGUAGAGGAAGAGGUAGUGCAGUAGAGGAAGAGGUAGUGCAGUAGAAUAGUGCGGCAGAGGUAGAGCAGUAGAGGAAGAGGUGGAGCAGUAGAGGAAGAGGUAGAGCAGUAGAAGUAGUGCAGUAGAGGAAGAGGUAGAGCAGUAGAGGAAGAGGUAGUGCAGUAGAGGAAGAGGUAGAGCAGUAGAAGUAGAGGAAGAGGUGGAGCAGUAGAGGAAGAGGUAGAGCAGUAGAGGAAGAGGUGGAGCAGUAGAGGAAGAGGUAGAGCAGUAGAGGAAGAGGUAGUGCAGUAGAGGAAGAGGUAGUGCAGUAGAGGAAGAGGUAGAGCAGUAGAAGUAGUGCAGUAGAGGAGGAGGUAGAGCAGUAGAGGUAGAGCAGUAAAAGUAGUGCGGUAGUGCAGUAGAGGAAGAUGUAGAGGUAGUGCAGUAGAGGUAGAGCAGUAGAGGUAGUGCAGUAGAAGUAGUGCAGUAGAGGCAGUGCAGUAGAAGUAGUGCAGUAGAGGAAGAGGUAGAGCAGUAGAGGAAGAGGUAGUGCAGUAGAGGUAGAGCAGUAGAGGUAGAGCAGUAGAGGAAGAGGUAGAGCAGUAGAGGAAGAGGUAGUGCAGUAGAGGAAGACAUAGAGGUAGUGCAGUAGAGGAAGAGGUAGAGCAGUAGAGGAAGAGGUAGUGCAGUAGAGGUAGAGCAGUAGAGGUAGUGCAGUAGAAGUAGAGCAGUAGAAGUAAUGCAGUAGAGGUAGUGCAGUAGAAGUAGAACAGUACAAGUAGGUAGUGCAGUAGAUGUAGAGCAGUAGAAGUAGUGCAGUAGAAGUAGUGCAGUAGAGGUAGUGCAGUAGAAGUAGUGCAGUAGAGGUAGUGCAGUGGAGGUAGUGCAGUAGAAGUAGAGCAGUAGAAGUAGUGCAGUAGAGGUAGAGCAGUAGAAGUAGUGCAGUAGAGGUAGUGCAGUAGAAGUAGAGCAGUAGAGGUAGUGCAGUAGAAGUAGAGCAGUAGAAGUAGAGC
ensembl:lncRNA